rnacentral:ncRNA from 1 species
UACUGGGGAUCGAGCCCACAACCCGGGCAUAUGUGACCUUUUGGUUCAUAGGUCUAAGCUCAACCACUGAGCCACACCGGCCAGGCCACUUGAAAUCUUUUAAGGAGAAACAGCAAAUCUGGUGCUGGCAGCUGGGGUAAUUCCGGCCUCAGUGCAGGGUAUUGAAUUUGGUGUAGUUAAAUUGCCAAGCUUGGGUUGCUGGCACGGGUCCAUGGCUGAGGAGCCUUGGUCCCCAUCCACACCCCCUGCCUCUGCUCUCCUGGCUCUUAGCAGUUUCCCGGUGUUGAAGUGUGUACUUGGAGAAAAUUAGAGUGCUCAAAGCAGGGCGCGAGCUGCCUGGACGCUGCCGCUAGGUAUCCUGGAAUGCGAGCAUGGUUCUGUUUUUGGUUUUUUAAAAAUAUAUUUUAUCGAUUUUUUACAGAGAGGAAGGGAGAGGGAUAGAGAGUUAGAAACACCCAUCAGCUGCCUCCUACACACCCCAUACUGUGGAUGUGCCCGCAACCAAGGUACAUGCCCUUGACCGGAAUCGAACCUGGGACUCUACAGUCCACAGGCCAAUGCUCUAGCCACUGAGCCAAACUGGUCAGGGCCAUGGUUCUGUUUUUUGUGUCAGAACUUCGCGGAGGCUGAUUAGAUGGAAUGCCUAGGGUGUUUGUUCGUAUUGCACCACUGAAGUUCAAAGUCUUACUGCAGGACAGACCAGAGUGAAAGCUUUUUGCCAAGAAUACUUUAAAUAACAAGGAUGCAGGUGAAAGAAAGUAGGAGAUUUGAAGAGGUACAGAUCUCGGGUAGUUCUGACUAUAAACGAUGCAAACAGCCAGCAUUAUUCCUGUGAUCCGCUGGCAGCUUCCAAGAAACCAAAGCCCACCAGGUGGUGGUAGCUUGAGGUCUGGUUCCAAAGGUGAACUGAAAGGCACCGCAAUGGAGUCUGCUAUUUGACUUAGUCUAGACAACCCCACUGACUCCGGCAGGGACAGGAUUGCCAUGGAUGGCGAUGUGUGGCAUUUCACUUACAGAGUGAUUUGGCUGGCAUAUUGAUAACCGAAGGAACUUGUGUGCUAACUAUUUAGGUUAUGUUGAGUGCUCAGUAUCCCUCAACUUUGACAAGUGGUGUUCCAGCCGAUGCCAGCGGCCCUUUAAAUCCAUUAGUGAUGUGCUUGGAUUGCAGUUAUUCUGCAUUAAGGAGUUCCCUGUGCGAGUAGAUCAAAAGGUUGCGUUAAAUUCCUGUCCCUUGUACACGCUGCCUGUUGCCCCUCAGAUUGCCCACUUGGGGUUGGCACUUGACCCCAGCAGAUCCUAGAGAAGAUGAUUGUUGCAACCAGGUUUUGGUUGGUGAUCCUGCAGGAGGAGCAUUG